rnacentral:rRNA from 1 species
UACGUAGGGUGCAAGCGUUUGUCCGGAAUUAUUGGGCGUAAAGAGCUCGUAGGCGGUUUGUCGCGUCUGCUGUGAAAACUCGGGGCUUAACCCCGGGCCUGCAGUGGGUACGGGCAGACUAGAGUGCGGUAGGGGAGACUGGAAUUCCUGGUGUAGCGGUGAAAUGCGCAGAUAUCAGGAGGAACACCGGUGGCGAAAGGCGGGUCUCUGGGCCGUAACUGACGCUGAGGAGCGAAAGCGUGGGGAGCGAACAGG